rnacentral:pre_miRNA from 9 species
UCUCGAUCGCGUAAAAGUUAACUCAAUUUUGUAUGGAAUUGGAAAGUUUGUCUACGUUUGCCGCCAGGGGCGCUGUUCCAAAUGCAUGCAAAUUUGAGUUAACUUUUACGUUAUCGA